AGAUCGCAGUCUGCAACCCGACUGCGUGAAGUCGGAAUCGCUAGUAAUCGCGGAUCAGCAUGCCGCGGUGAAUACGUUCCCGGGCCUUGUACACACCGCCCGUCACACCAUGAGAGUCGGGAACACCCGAAGUCCGUAGCCUAACCGCAAGGGGGGCGCGGCCGAAGGCGGGUUCGAUAAUUGGGGUGAAGUCGUAACAAGGUAAC
rnacentral:rRNA from 1 species